GAUUUUCACUCACUUAUUAGGUUGCAUGUUUUUCUCCGGUCUCCUCCUCGGUUCCAUGUAAGUUUCAUACACACAUUUCCCCUACAUUUUCUUAAAAUAUUUAUGUAUAUAGCAUAAUCAAACUCUUGGAUAGAAGUUCAUUUAUGUUGUUGGACAAAGUUUCAUUUCUAGUUCCAUAAAUGCCCCACAUACUAGCUGUUAUGUACUCAAGAAUGUGCAAUCCUUGAAGCAGUUAAUGAUGUUUGUGUACUUUGUUUCA
rnacentral:lncRNA from 1 species